GGCUGGGACCCAGGACUUCAAGCCAUGUGGCGCGUCUUGUUUCUGCUCAGCGGGCUCGGCGGGCUGCGGAUGGACAGUAAUUUUGAUAGUUUACCUGUGCAAAUUACAGUUCCGGAGAAAAUACGGUCAAUAAUAAAGGAAGGAAUUGAAUCGCAGGCAUCCUACAAAAUUGUAAUUGAAGGGAAACCAUAUACUGUGAAUUUAAUGCAAAAAAACUUUUUACCCCAUAAUUUUAGAGUUUACAGUUAUAGUGGCACAGGAAUUAUGAAACCACUUGACCAAGAUUUUCAGAAUUUCUGCCACUACCAAGGGUAUAUUGAAGGUUAUCCAAAAUCUGUGGUGAUGGUUAGCACAUGUACUGGACUCAGGGGCUUACUACAGUUUGAAAAUGUUAGUUAUGGAAUAAAACCCCUGGAGUCUUCAGUUGGCUUUGAACAUGUAAUUUACCAAGUAAAACAUAAGAAAGCAGAUGUUUCCUUAUAUAAUGAGAAGGAUACAGAAUCAAGAGAUCUGUCCUUUAAAUUACAAAGCGUAGAGGGUGUUACAAACUUCACGAAAUGAGUUGGGAAGUGUUGUCUCCUCUAUUCUGGAAGACUUUGUGGAGGAUUGAUUUAAUUAUUUCAACAUCUGUAAAAUCCAUCUGGGAUUGGACAUUUUUAGGGAAGGAUUUUUAUUAGUAAUUAAAUUUUUUCUCAAGUCUAUUAUAAUUUUCUAAUUUCUUUUGG
rnacentral:sRNA from 1 species